CUGGGCGUAAAGCKUGCGCAGGCGUAUUGUUAAGCAAGACGUGAAAGCCCCGGGCUUAACCUGGGAAUGGCGUUUUGAACUGGCAGUCUAGAGUGCGUCAGAGGGGGGUGGAAUUCCACGUGUAGCAGUGAAAUGCGUAGAGAUGUGGAGGAACACCAAUGGCGAAGGCAGCCCCCUGGGAUGACACUGACGCUCAUGUACGAAAGCGUGGGUAGCAAACAGGAUUAGAUACCCUGGUAGUCCACGCCCUAAACGAUGUCAACUGGUUGUUGGGGGAGUGAAAUCCCUUAGUAACGAAGCUAACGCGUGAAGUUGACUGCCUGGGGAGUACGGUCGCAAGGUUAAAACUCAAAGGAAUUGACGGGGACCCGCACAAGCGGUGGAUGAUGUGGUUUAAUUCGAUGCAACGCGAAAAACCUUACCUACCCUUGACAUGUCCAGGAUCUUGCAGAGAUGCGGGAGUGCCCGAAAGGGAAUUGGAACACAGGUGCUGCAUGGCUGUCGUCAGCUCGUGUCGUGAGAUGUUGGGUUAAGUCCCGCAACGAGCGCAACCCUUAUCAUUAGUUGCUACGCAAGGGCACUCUAAUGAGACUGCCGGUGACAAACCGGAGGAAGGUGGGGAUGACGUCAAGUCCUCAUGGCCCUUAUGGGUAGGGCUUCACACGUCAUACAAUGGUCGGUACAGAGGGUUGCCAAGCCGCGAGGUGGAGCCAAUCCCAGAAAGCCGAUCGUAGUCCGGAUUGUUCUCUGCAACUCGAGAGCAUGAAGUCG
rnacentral:rRNA from 1 species